rnacentral:misc_RNA from 1 species
AACAACAAUCACUGACGUCACCAAUUUCUGUUUCACCGCGGGGAAGAGUGUUUAAGGUAAAUUUUUGCUGUUUUUUCGUAUCUUAUCGAUACUUUCUUUGUUUUGUUUUGUCUGUACUUUCUUAAGGACCGAUUAAGCAUUUUUUCAUAAAUCUGUGUUUUAUAUUAUCCUUUAACCUAUCGGACCAUUAAAAUUCAGGUUUGCCUAAUCAAUAACUACGCCCGUCGGUAUAAAAUCAUCCGUACUUUUCAGUUAACAUUACAUCUGAACCAUGUUGAGUGAUAAAAAAAAAAGUUGUAACUGAUAAAGAGCGUAUUACCCUUUUCCAGGUGUAGGAAAACGAUACUAUAAUAAUGUUUGUGGAACAGUUGAUGCUUAGAAUCCAUUGUUUAAUGGAGAUGGAUUUUUUUUGUUGUCUAGGCUAUAGAUUUUUUAAUAGUUUAUAAGUCAAUAAAGGCGAUUGACCGAACGAAUUGUUUUGCUCUGAAAAAAGGAAAGAAAGCGUGACAAAGUGGUAUUUUCGAUGAUGCAUCGCGAAAAUAUCCCGUUUAUUCAACGUGGUGUUAAUAAGCCAUAUACUUGAAAGGGGUGUAAAAGAGGAAACAACUUAUACGUAUAAACUAAUAUCGAGUGGUAUAGGGAGAAGGGUAGAACCAAAAAGAGACAAAAAAAACUGUAUAAUUUAUUCAGCAGGUGGGCGUUUGCGGUAAAUUGAGUGCACCUUCUGACGAGUUUGUCAUUUCAUGAUAGAGCCAAUGUAUACGCUAUCAAUAACCGGCGAGUUUUAAAGAUACACUUUUCGACCUUUAGCUCUGCUUGUUCUUUGUAAGGAUAGAGCUUAUUUUUUUGCCAAGAUUAACUGAUUAUUUUCACUUAGUUGUUCUUAGGCGAAAAUCAAACCAAUUAUUAAACGUUCUUCGAAUAAAGAAAGAUUUGCUGAUAAUAGAUUGUCUAACUUACUGACUGCGUAACCUAUUUACCGCUUUUUAUGUAAAUAAAACAUAUUUCUGCAGGCAGUCGAUAAGAGAUGAGAGAAUAUAAACUUGUUGUACUUGGCAGCGGUGGAGUUGGAAAGAGUGCAUUGACAGUACAGUUCGUCCAAGGAAUAUUCGUUGAAAAAUAUGACCCGACUAUAGAAGACUCCUACAGAAAACAUGUCGAAAUUGACGGGCAGCAAUGUAUGCUUGAAAUACUUGAUACUGCAGGAACUGAACAAUUUACGGCCAUGAGAGAUUUGUAUAUGAAAAAUGGACAAGGUUUCCUUCUAGUUUAUAGUAUAACAGCACAAUCGACUUUUGAUGACUUAGAAGACUUGAGGGAACAAAUAUUAAGGGUAAAAGACACGGAUGACGUCCCAAUGGUACUUGUGGGCAAUAAAUGCGAUUUAGAAGACGAAAGAAUGGUUGGAUAUGCCCAAGGAAAGGAAAGAGCUACCAAGUUUAACUGUCAUUUUAUAGAAACGUCAGCCAAAUCGAAAAUAAACGUCGACAAGGUAUGA